AUGCACGCUGGCGGCGUGCCUAAUCCCUGCCAGUCGCGCGAACAGACGAGGAGCUUGCUCCUCUGACGUUAGCGGCGGACGGGUGAGUAACACGUGGAUAACCUACCUAUAAGACUGGGAUAACUUCGGGAAACCGGAGCUAAUACCGGAUAAUAUAUUUAACCGCAUGGUUCAAUAGUGAAAGACGGUUUUGCUGUCACUUAUAGAUGGAUCCGCGCCGCAUUAGCUAGUUGGUAAGGUAACGGCUUACCAAGGCAACGAUGCGUAGCCGACCUGAGAGGGUGAUCGGCCACACUGGAACUGAGACACGGUCCAGACUCCUACGGGAGGCAGCAGUAGGGAAUCUUCCGCAAUGGGCGAAAGCCUGACGGAGCAACGCCGCGUGAGUGAUGAAGGUCUUCGGAUCGUAAAACUCUGUUAUUAGGGAAGAACAAAUGUGUAAGUAACUAUGCACGUCUUGACGGUACCUAAUCAGAAAGCCACGGCUAACUACGUG
rnacentral:rRNA from 1 species